rnacentral:rRNA from 1 species
GUAAGGGAAUCUUUCACAAUGGGCGAAAGCCUGAUGGAGCAACGCCGCGUGUGUGAUGAAGGGUUUCGGCUCGUAAAACACUGUUGUAAGAGAAGAAUGACAUUGAGAGUAACUGUUCAAUGUGUGACGGUAUCUUACCAGAAAGGAACGGCUAAAUACGCGCCAG